GAACUGAACAAACAAUUAUCAUGUGAUAGAUAAAGCUUCAAAUACUGGAGAGUUUGCAGUUUUUAUAUUAUUACAUCACUAACAUGAAUGCGAGAGCAAAUAAAUACAGAGAGCAACAUAUGAAGAAACAAACCUUCAUUUCACACUUCAUAGUGGCAUUUUCUGAAACACAACAUAUAAAAACCAAAAUCAUUUUCACCAGCCAUGACUGCCAAUAGGCAACCUCCAAUCUUCUCCACCGUGGCCACCAGCGGUAUCCGGGCUACAUCCACCUAGACGUCU
rnacentral:lncRNA from 1 species